rnacentral:rRNA from 1 species
AUACGUAGGGGGCGAGCGUUGUCCGGAAUGACUGGGCGUAAAGGGCGUGUAGGCGGCGGUGUAAGUCUGGAGUGAAAGUCCCGCAUUCAAUGUGGGAAUUGCUUUGGAUACUGCAGUGCUAGAGUGCGGAAGAGGUAAGUGGGAUUCCCAGUGUAGCGGUGAAAUGCGUAGAGAUUGGGAGGAACACCAGUGGCGAAGGCGACUUACUGGGCCGUAACUGACGCUGAGGCGCGAAAGCGUGGGGAGCGAACAGGAUUAGAUACCCUGGUAGUCCACGUGGUAAACGAUGAAUGCUAGGUGUUGCGGGUAUCGACCCCUGCAGUGCCGGAGUAAACACAAUAAGCAUUCCGCCUGGGGAGUACGGCCGCAAGGUUGAAACUCAAAUGAAUUGGCGGGG